rnacentral:rRNA from 1 species
AACGCGAAGAACCUUACCAGCCUUUGACAUGUCCGGUUUGGUUACCAGAGAUGGUUUCCUUCAGUUCGGCUGGCCGGAACACAGGUGCUGCAUGGCUGUCGUCAGCUCGUGUCGUGAGAUGUUGGGUUAAGUCCCGCAACGAGCGCAACCCUCGCCCUUAGUUGCCAUCAUUUAGUUGGGCACUCUAGGGGGACUGCCGGUGAUAAGCCGAGAGGAAGGUGGGGAUGACGUCAAGUCCUCAUGGCCCUUACGGGCUGGGCUACACACGUGCUACAAUGGCGGUGACAAUGGGAAGCGGAGGGGUGACCCCGAGCAAAUCUCAAAAAGCCGUCUCAGUUCAGAUUGUACUCUGCAACUCGAGUGCAUGAAGGUGGAAUCGCUAGUAAUCGCAGAUCAGCACGCUGCGGUGAAUACGUUCCCGGGCCUUGUACACACCGCGCAUA